rnacentral:lncRNA from 1 species
UGGCCUCUUGUUUUCAUUAGUUGUUAUUGCAUGCACAUAUGUAUAUUUUCCUAAAUAUAACCUGUACAGUCUGUAUACUGUUACUUGUGUGUGUGUAUGUGUGUGUGUGUGUGUGUGUGUGUGUGUGUGUGUGUGUUAUGACUGAGUGUCUGGCACUGGACAACCAAUUGGUGUGCUGUUUCCUGGGGAAUAUCACCUCCCCCGCUCCCACCUUUCCUCACUUGCCUAGAGCUAGCUCUUUGUUGAUGAGGCCUUAUGGGCUUUUCCCUAUCCACUUUGGCAUGUCCAUUUUUCAGCUCACCUUUGGGAAGUCAUGCUAUUGACACUCUAAGGGCACAGUGUCUGAAUCCCUAAUAACAAUUUAUAAACAUCUGUCCUUUAGCCAUAGAUAAGUAUAAAUGUUAUCCCUCAUCAAGGAAAAUUUUCUUUGCCACAGGUGGAGACUACUUCCAGAAAACCAUAACCUUUGAAAACUCAGAGCUGCAGAACCUAGCCCCGAUGGAUACAUCUUUUAUCUUUAAACAAGAAAAAGGCAAACUGUGAAAUAGUGGAGGAAAAGCCUCAAUCGGCAGAAGAGAGAAGGGA